rnacentral:rRNA from 1 species
UGGGGAAUAUUGCACAAUGGAGGGAACUCUGAUGCAGCGACGCCGCGUGAACGAAGAAGGCUUUCGAGUCGUAAAGUUCUUUUAUAUGGGAAGAUAAUGACGGUACCAUAAGAAAAAGCCCCGGCUAACUACGUGCCAGCAGCCGCGGUAAUACGUGGGGGGCUAGCGUUGUCCGGAAUCACUGGGCGUAAAGGGUUCGCAGGCGGAAAUGCAAGUCAGGUGUAAAAGGCCGUAGCUUAACUACUGUAAGCAUUUGAAACUGCAUAUCUUGAGAAGAGUAGAGGUAAGUGGAAUUUUUAGUGUAGCGGUGAAAUGCGUAGAUAUUAAAAAGAAUACCGGUGGCGAAGGCGACUUACUGGGCUCAUUCUGACGCUGAGGAACGAAAGCGUGGGUAGCAAACAGG